CACCGAGCAAUAAGCAUGAAUAAAAAGUAAGCUCACAUGAAUAUUGCGUUAUACCUGUGAGUUGUUUUGUUAUGAAUCAUGAGCUUGGAUGAUUUGUUGGCAAGUAAAUAUCAAUAGCGGAUGAGGUAAUUACUCGGGGUUUUUAUUUUGGCUCAAUGUAGGUAGUCUCUACUGCACAUUAUUGUACUCUUGUGCAGUGUUAUCAAAGGCGCGCUUAAGCCCUGAAGCGAGGCUCAAAACGUGUUGAGCGCUUCGCCUCGCUUUAUGUGCGCUUCAGUGUCGUCAUCAAGGUUCUAAGGCAAACGUUUCCUUGCCAAUGAGCCUCGUAUGAAGAAGUGACUCUAAAUAAUUGAUAUUUCACUUUAUCAUAAAAAGAAAUUCAAUUUCUUUGGUCAUAUUUUUGUCAUUCAUGUUUAUACUUAUUAGUCUUGGGCUAAGCAUAUAUAUUUGUAUUCUUUUCUCCCUUUGCGCCUUUUUUCAUUAAAGCCCACACUUUAUUUGCGCUUAAAGCCCUCACGGACCUUAGAGCUUUUUUGUGCAUUUCGCCUUUGAUAACACUGCUCUUGUGGAGCUCUCUCGAAGGCUUAUUUUUUUGUGACAUUUACUUUUACUUUACGCUUAUCUUAGCACUUCUAAAAUUUUGGAGUUUGGACUUGUUUAGUUACAUAAAUGGUUCAUUUGUUCUUGAUAAUUCAUUAUACUGAAAGUCUAUACACCCAACUAAAUAUCUAAUUCAGAGUGGUAAAGAAUCUUUAGAAGACCAAGAUCACACUGAACCAAUAAAAAAACCCACUAACUUUUCCAAUUGGGCACCUAUAACUGUGGUAAUUUGGAAUAUUUCCAGUUAGUGAACUUUGAUUCGUUCCUUUAUUAUCGGAUUUUAUUCUUGUGCUCCUUUAUCUUCUCUCCUCUUUGUAUUACUUGAAUUUAAGCCUCCAAUAUGUAAUCCUGUUUCCUAUUCUUGAUUUUUAGUCAUAUUCUACUACCCUUUCUAUAGUGAGACCCAGAAAUGGCUCAAGGUACUUGUGCGAUUCUUAGUAUGCAUCGCUCCUUAACAGCCCCUAACUUUGAAGCCUUGAAACCCAAGUAUUCUGGUCCAUAUUUCAAGGAUAAACCCAAGUUUGUAGCCUGUCCAACAUCAGAUUUUGGUAUUUAAUAAGAGCAUUCUUUUUGUCAUUUGUUUGUUUAUUCUUAACAGUAAAGUCAAGCAUUAAUGUGAUUUGAUUUUCUGGCUGGCUUAAAAAUUGCUUAAUUUUCUUACUAGCUUUUGUUGAGUUUAGUUGGUGAUGUUAUUUAGUUUGGGAACAGGACCACAGGUGUUUGGAAUUUGUGUAGGGUUGCAUUCUGUUAAAUUGUGAAGAUAUUGAAAUCACAAUGAACCAACGAAGCACAAUCGAUCUGGAACAUGGAUGGGACUUCAUGCAAAGGGGCAUUACAAAGCUGAAGAACAUUCUAGAAGGGCUGCCUGAGCCUCAGUUCAGCUCAGAGGACUAUAUGAUGCUGUAUACGUAUCCUUUUAGACUCCCUCACUGUUAGGCAUGUAGAUAACUUGGAUUUGAUUCACCUUUCGUUUCCUUAAGUCUACUAACAGGACAAUUUACAACAUGUGUACUCAAAAGCCCCCACAUGAUUAUUCUCAACAGCUGUAUGACAAAUAUCGUGAAGCUUUUGAAGAAUAUAUCACAACAACGGUAAGGGUAACUGCAGUUUACAUUCACAUUUCACUUUAGUUGAAAUUAAACAAGGUACUACAAUAAAACAAGAAAAUAAGAAUUGAAGAAGUAUUAUUCUUAAUUUUUCUUUGAUGUUUGUUAUAUCCAUGUACCAUUCUUGAUUGUCUGCUCCCUUUGUAUCAUUCUGGAAUGUUUGGAACUUAGAAAAAUGAUUUCUUUAAUAAAGAAAAGGGAAAUCAUUAGUCUGGUAAGCCCUUUGUUGCUCUUUUAUUUUUCAAUUUUAGCCAUGUAACAAAGAGGUCUUAGUAUGGGUAGUUUCCUUGGUGCGCUCUGUGAUUCUAUUUUGUGCCCUCAAUGAUUUUAUUUAAUAAGGAUCCAUGUGCAAGUAUCAACAUUUUUUGGGGAUCUGAAUGUAAUUCAGGCAUUGCUUUCCCAAGAGACUAUAUCUUUUAGUUUUAUUCCCACUAUUAUAAGAUUCAAAUUUAGAAAGGCUGCUCUUGCUGCUUCUUCAUCCCAUAGAAUAUUAAGAGAAGGAUACGGGGAAAGUGGAUAGAAGUUUCAAAACACAGCUAAAUUACAUGGAUUUUUUGUAUGUUAUUUUAGGCAUGCAAUUUUUCUUAGGAGUUUAAAAUGAUGAGAACUCAAAUUUAGCUUAAAGUUUGUUUACCCAAUUUUUGUUUCUCCAAAUAAUUCUACCUUCUCUAAAUUUGACACUGCAAUUCAAUUUCAAAAUAGGUAUUGCCUUCUUUGAGAGAAAAACAUGACGAGUUCAUGUUGCGAGAGCUGGUAAAAAGGUGGUCAAAUCAUAAGGUCAUGGUCAGAUGGUUGUCGAGAUUCUUCCAUUAUCUUGACCGCUAUUUCAUUGCCCGGAGAUCUCUGCCGGGGCUUAAUGAAGUUGGAUUAACUUGCUUCCGUGAUCAGGUAAUUAUGGUUCUCCUUCUCUUUUCAUCAAAACUUUGUUUCUAUGGUCAUCUAUUAAAACAUCUCCACCUGAUCCCUUGGUUAAAGCACUGAGUUCAGCUCAUUGCUUCUAUAUUGAUUUUUUUAAUUUUAUUUUCUGGGUUUUGCUCUUCUAGAAUUUGGUUUUCAGUUUGACAGUAUACUAGUCAACUGCUGCCACAUCCUUUUACGAAAAGAUGUUAUCAUUUGGUCCCUCCAUCCCAAUUAUGUGAAGGUGAUUGACCGGAGUUUAAGAGAAAAAGAAAGAAUUUUGAAACUUGUGGUAUAAAGUAAGCUAUAGAAACUUAAGUAAAACAAGAAGUUCGAAGUUAAAUUGUUACUAAUAUGGAAAGAUGUCCCUUUUUUGGGGACCGACUAAAAAAGAAAGAGUAUCACAUAAAUUGGGACAAAGGUAAUAUCUUACGGGCAACUGUUUUCUCUUUCAGGUCUACCAAGAGUUGAAUGGAAAAGUCAGGGAUGCUGUUAUAUCUCUGGUAUCCCUUUUGUCUUGCUUUGAGUUCUCACUACCAUUUCUUUUUUCCUUUUAAUUGAGCAACGACAUUCCUCUAACCAGAUUGAUCAAGAGCGUGAGGGAGAGCAAAUUGACAGAGCCCUACUAAAGAAUGUGCUAGAUAUAUUUGUUGAAAUUGGAAUGGGGUCAAUGGAUUAUUAUGAGAACGAUUUUGAAGCUGCAAUGCUCAAGGAUACAGCGGCUUAUUAUUCUCGCAAAGCUUCUAACUGGAUCCUCGAAGAUUCAUGUCCAGAUUAUAUGCUGAAAGUUAGUAUACUGCUUAUGCAACCCCUUAAUUCUGCCAUUCUUACCCUGUUGCUUCUUCUGUCUGUCCUUUUUCUGGUUAAAGUCCAUAUGUUAACCUACAUAAUCAUGUCAAUGUUCCUUUAGGCUGAGGAGUGCUUGAAACGGGAGAAGGAUAGGGUUUCUCAUUAUCUCCAUUCAAGCAGCGAGACAAAGUUGCUUGAGGUUCAUUCCAGCUCUUAAUCUUUAUUCUUUACUGGAACUUUAGCCUUCAAAAUGGAGGAUGUUGCUAUCAAUUUUUAUUGUUCACAUCUUCUUUUUUCUGGAUCUAGCCUAUCAACUUUAAAUUAGCUGCAACUUUACUACUCUCACCUUUCUGCAGAAAGUGCAACAUGAGUUGUUGUCUGUGUAUGCCACUCAACUUCUUGAGAAGGACUACUCUGGAUGCCAUGCGUUACUAAGAGAUGAUAAGGUAGUUAGCAGCAUCUUAAUGACCAUGUUUCUGAAUUUUUUUUGUGGUAAUUGACACAAUCAUGAUUAUUUUAUUAGGUUGAAGAUUUAUCAAGGAUGUAUAGGCUCUUUUCUAAGAUCCCUCGAGGCUUAGACCCUGUGGCCAAUAUUUUUAAGCAGGUUUGUGAUCUCAUGACCUCAUAUUCUCAAUUGUAUGCCUAUAAGUUACUUCAUGUAUCCUUCUUUUUAAUCUGAAUGCAGCAUGUUACUGCUGAAGGUACAGCUUUGGUAAAACAGGCUGAAGAUGCUGCUAGCAACAAAAAGGUUUGUAUAAUCUAUCCCUUUCUCAAAUUCUUUGGUUUUGAGAAAUUUGGUUCUUCCUUAUUUGGCGCUUAUACACUUUGAGUUGACUUGGAACCAGUCAAACUAGAAGUUUUUGCUAUUUUAAUAUGCAAAGUUACUUGUGCUCAAGUGUCUGAUCAACUUAAUUUCAUAUAUUAACACACCAUUUUGUCAUCAAUUGUUAUGAAUCUUUAGAGAAGGAUCGAUUCAUAGGGCGAUCUGUCAUUGUCGUGGGUCCUUCACUUUCAUUACAUCGAUGUGGAUUGCCUCGUGAAAUAGCAAUAGAACUUUUCCAGACAUUUGUAAUUCGUGGUCUAAUUAGACAACAUCUUGCUUCGAACAUAGGAGUUGCUAAGAGUAAAAUUCGAGAAAAAGAGUCGAUUGUAUAAAUUCAGCUCGUUAAAGGGAGGCUGAACCUUAGAGUUCAUUAAAAAGAGAGAACCCGGAUCUCUUCAGCUCUUCAAAGGGAGACUGAAACCUUAGAGUUCAAUGGAAGAGAGAACUCUGAUCUCUUGCUCUUUGCAGAUGUAUGACUUACUGUUUUAUUCAUCAAAAGCCCCUUUAAAUAGGAGUCUUAUUACAUCAAUAGGAAGUUUAAUUCUUAUGUAAGUAGGAGACCUAAAUCCUGUACCAAACUAAUAACUAUAGGUUAACCUAAUCCUUAUGAAACCAUGAAACAUAAACCCCAUUCUAGAAUAAUAAAGUUACUAAAUUAUAAAUAAAUAGUAAAUUGAUCUACUUAAAAAUAUAAUUAAAUACUUAAAAUUAAUUGACUUCCUCACAUCCACAACAUCAAUACUUUAAGUUUAAAAGCUAUCUACUCUAGCACCCAAGUCUUAAAAACUACAAAAUAGUCCCUACCACCAAAAUUUUAGAAAAGACAAACUAACCACUUUCUAUAAAUAUUUUAUAUCCCUAUUUAGAAAUUAAAAAAAAUAAUCACAAAAUCCAUUUCUUUCCCUCCAAAACCUCUCUGAGUAAAUGAUCAAAAUGGUCCUUGAUGUAUAAGGGUUGUUUUAAGUUGAUCCUUAAUAUAUUCCACAUGAUCCAUAUGGUCCUUAAUAUAUUAUAAAAGAGGAUCAAUUUGAUCCUUUGACCUAAAAGUAACAGAUACAUAAAAAAAAAUCUGUUAACUUUAACACUGACCCCACGUGCAACUCAUGUGCAAAAAUUAAAACACUCAAAAGUUUUCCCUUUCCCCUUCUUUCUCUACAUUUUUCCAAUCUGUUUCAGAAGAGCUUGUGGAUUUUAUUUUUUUUUGCUCCUCAGCCAUUAAAGGGAACUUCCCUCUUCUCAUCUAACACAGAGCUACUAUUUUUUACUGCAAAAUGUCAAGAAAGAUGAAGUUUUCUCUUUUUAGUUCAUCUCUGAAUCCCUAAUUGCUACUCCAAUUCAAAGAUGAUAAGUGAUUUCUAAUAGAAAGCAAUUUUGGAAGUCUUUCAUUGUUGUUGUGUAAAAAAUUGAUUGUAUUUGAAGAUACAUACAGAAGAUCUAAUCAAAGCCCUAUUUGAAGGUGACAAAAUUGAUUCACGAUCAAUGCUUUUGAUUUCGAAAUUAGUAAAGAAACUAAGUGAAGCUGAAAGUAUAUUGAAAGUAUUUGAAAAUGGACAGUAGCAUUAUGCGAUAGCAUUAGUUGAAAAGGAAGAUUGAGACAGAGGCGAUAUCUCUAGAUUAGAAAUGAGCUUGAAAAAGAAAACAAAAAGGUGAAAAAAAUGAAGAGCAAAUUGGUUAAUGCCAAAAGUAGAGAGAAUGUGUGUUGGUAUAUUAUCUUGUAUGACUCUACUCUAGAUUUGAUAUCUAAAUGCGAUUUGAUCUUUUGAAUCAUGGUGCAAGUCAGUUGCCAUAGGUUGAUCUGUAAUCUUUAGUGUAUGUAAUUGUAUAGACAACUUCUUUUUUCAAAAAUAUGGUGCUUUAGCUCUAAUAAUUGAAGUGCAGAUUUUAUAAUAAAAAUUUGGUCCCUUGUAAUAGUAGAAUCUGGUGCAUAUUUUAUUGAGAAUACCUGGUGCAUCAAUUUUGAGAAUUCUAAUGUAAAUUGAGCAUAUGCGCUUAUAAUCAAUGCAAAAAUUUGGUGCCUUGAAACAUUUUAUUAGCACAUCUGGUGCACUUCUAAUGAGCACACUCAUGUCUAGUGAAGUUUGGAAUGGAUACGAUGUACGUAGAUCUUAUCCUUACCUUGUAAAGAUAGAGAGAUAGUUUCUGAUAGACUCUAGGCUUAAACAAAAAUUACUUCAAAGCAGAUACAUCCAAGGUGAAAUAACUAUGAUACUUGAUGUUGUUGUAAGGGCAACAAACAAUGAUAACUAACAAGGAAGUGAUGCAAUUUUUGAAGAUUUGUUUGCUUGCAAAACAGUUUACGUAGCUCUGGUGCUUAUCUAGGGUUGGGACCAUUUGUCUAACUCCAAGAUUCUUAUUUCAAUUUUUAUACGAGAACAUCUUUCUCAUAUCGAUCAAGGCUUUCUUUGAGUUUGAAAUAAGGGGACAAGAAGUAAGAACAUAAACCCUUUAGAUUCAACGUCAACCAUGCUUCAACCUUAGUAGCUGUGUGAAAGCCGCUUAACUUCUCACUUGGUAACAGUUCUUUAAUUACCAAAAAUAAAGAAUGCAAAACAUGUAGAUUGUUAUCCUUCACUAGCUUAAAAGUAAAAACAUUAAUUCUCCCUCUUCCCCUGUAAUCCUAUCAUCUGGCCAUAUCAAUAUUAGAGCUGGAGUAUACCUCUUUUUUUCUUGUGUAGAAAACAUAAUUAAGAACCUCUGUCAACUGUAAUGAGGUUUUCAAUAACUGUAUGCCAAGCUACAAUAUUAAGAAUGAAUAGAGAACAAAAGUUGCACAUGAUUUUAAUUUCAAAGAAACAAAAAGAUAAUAUGGAAGACACAUAGCCACUCAGACAUGAAGUACACAACAAGACUUAAAGUUCAAUCAAAUUUGCAGAUAGAAGUUAAAAAUCGAAGCAUAAAUUGAACUUAGAUCGAUGGAACAAUAGCUGGUGCAUAUUGAAGUUUCUAAUCACAAGUCGCAACUUAUCAAAAUCACAUUACAUGAGUUGAUUCAAAAAUAUGAAUAAUGAGUGCUUACCACUCUAUCACAACCCUUGUUUGUAGCAUAUUGCUAUUCUGCUUAUUUUGAUUUCCAGUUUGUGCUUUUAAUGAGUUUUGUUCAGAGAUUUCUUGUUAUCGUAUCUUCUUUUUUGUAUCAAAAGCAUGAAGUCACAAAGUUUGACUUCAUCUCAGUGAUUGUUUUGUUUCAUUUACUUAAUUUGUUCUUCAGUACAUGGUCAUUGAUAAUUUGGUGGUUGGGAAUAUUACUUCAAAGAGAUGGUAAAAGUUUCUUUAAAGCAGAACCCCUCACCGAAUUCUGUACUUAUCUUAAAGAAAGAGCAUGAGCAGUUGCUUAGGGAACCAAGAAGUGCUUUUUGUCGCAUUUCCUUCUUUUAUGCAUCUUAAAUUCUCCACUUCUGCUGGUUAGAACAAUAUCAAAAUUAAUUCAUCUCAUCUUUUUAGGGAUGAUUCUCUAAAAGAUGAGACUCGUAUUUCUCUGUGAAUGCAUUUAAUAUAAUUGCUCAAUGUCUUGCAUUCUUUCUGAUCAACUAGUGUUCUUCAACAGGCAGAGAAGAGAGAUGUGGUUGGUUUGCAGGAACAGGUAAUCCCUUAGUAAAUCUGUUAUCUGACCCUUGAAUAUGUUUUCGGCGAUGAACUUACUUCUGAAUUUUCAGGUUUUUGUUCGGAAAGUGAUUGAGCUUCACGAUAAAUAUUUGGCGUAUGUGAAUAACUGUUUCCAAAACCACACACUUUUUCACAAGGUAUGUGUUGGAGCGAAGGAUAGUUGUCUAAUUUAAUUGUUCUACUCUGUGCAUCAGGGUAGAAGUAAAUUGCUAAUAUUUAUCCCCUUUGUCAUUUUCUAGGCACUUAAAGAGGCUUUCGAACUUUUCUGCAACAAGGGUGUUGCUGGUAGCUCAAGCGCUGAACUUCUUGCCACCUUCUGUGACAACAUUCUCAAAAAAGGCGGGAGUGAGAAAUUGAGUGAUGAAGCCAUUGAAGAGACGUUGGAAAAGGUGAGCUCUUGCUCUAUAGAUCCCCUUCCCUUCUUUUCCUCUAGAGCAUUUACUUUUUCUUCGUACUACUGGAGCAGGAGAAAGCUGAUAAUAGAUCUCACUUGCAGGUGGUAAAGCUGCUAGCUUAUAUUAGUGAUAAGGACUUGUUUGCAGAAUUCUAUAGGUAGAGUUACCUCUACCGUGUAUCUCAACCACUACUUGAAUAGUAUCUUCUUCUCCGUUACAAGUUUACGACUUCCUUCUUUUUUUUUCAGGAAAAAGCUAGCCCGGCGGUUGUUAUUUGAUAAGAGUGCCAAUGAUGAACAUGAGAGAAGUAUCCUAACAAAGUUGAAGCAGCAGUGCGGGGGGCAGUUCACAUCAAAGAUGGAGGGAAUGGUAAGCUAUCCAGAUCAAUUAUGCUGAAUUUGAGGCUAUGUUCUCUGGUGACAUUCUUCUUCUCUUUCUAUAGGUCACAGAUUUGACAUUGGCAAGGGAAAAUCAAGCCAGCUUUGAGGAGUAUUUGAGCAAUAAUCCAAUAGCAAAUCCAGGAAUUGACUUGACAGUGACUGUCUUGACUACUGGCUUCUGGCCUAGCUACAAGUCUUUUGAUCUCAACCUCCCAGCUGAAAUGGUAUAUCAUAUCAAUAUGUUAAUUGGCAUUAUGCAGUUGAUUUUAUCUUUGUUUGACCCUUAUUCCUCUAGCUGAAGUUCUUCUCUUUAGGCAAAGAAUGAUGCAUGUUGAAUCAUUUUUCUUCUCAAACGUCCUGUCAUUGAUUCAUUUUAUGCCGUGCAUUGUCAGGUUAGGUGCGUUGAAGUAUUCAAGGAGUUCUAUCAAACAAAAACAAAGCACAGGAAACUUACGUGGAUAUACUCUUUGGGAACUUGCAACAUAAAUGGAAAAUUUGAGCCAAAAACUAUUGAGCUAGUUGUCACUACUUAUCAGGUUGAUUGCUGUUGGCUUACUUUUUGAAAUCGGAUAGGCUUAGUUAAUUUGAAAUAUUUCUAUUACGUUAUUAAUGAGAAAACGAGAUUGAGACUUCUUCCUUUUCGUAGGCUUCUGCUCUGCUGCUCUUUAAUGCAUCAGAUAGAUUGAGUUAUCAGGAAAUCAUGACGCAAUUAAACCUAUCAGAUGAUGAUGUUGUUCGGCUUCUUCAUUCCCUUUCAUGUGCGAAGUACAAGAUUCUCAACAAGGAGCCAAGCACCAAAACAGUUUCUCCGACUGAUGUCUUUGAGUUCAACUCAAAGUUCACUGACAAAAUGAGGAGGAUCAAGGUACAAUUAAUGAUGAGUACGGUUAGCCUUUGUACUAUGAAUUGUUGCACUACAUUACUGACCCCUUGAGGAUAUUGCUGUAAUGGGUAUGCAGAUACCUCUCCCUCCUGUUGAUGAGAAGAAAAAGGUAAUUGAAGACGUUGAACAAGGAUAGACGGUAUGCUAUAGAUGCUUCAAUUGUGCGUAUUAUGAAGAGCCGUAAAGUAUUGGGCUACCAGCAACUAGUCAUGGAGUGCGUUGAGCAGUUGGGACGCAUGUUUAAGGUGGUAUCCUUUGUGAUGAACUUCUACUUCUCAAUUUUAAUGUUAUUUAUUCAAGCUCAACUCAGCUAAUUACUUUGUUUUGAAUACUCCAUAGCCUGAUGUCAAAGCUAUCAAGAAGAGAAUAGAAGAUUUGAUAACUAGAGAUUACCUAGAGAGGGACAAAGAUAAUCCAAACCUGUUCAAGUACUUGGCAUGAUUUGUGCAGAUCAUAGUGAAUGAGUGAUGUUUAUAUGAACUUUUGCAAUCGACAUAGGAGGAGAAACAUGCCCCACAAGAUGAGGACAGAUUUCUUUAACUCCUACCUCCCUGGACCUUUGAUUGCCUUGCACCAGGAGCUUGAAACAUUUUGUACAAAUGGUUAAGAUCUCAGGAAAAAGUAGAAUUGCCUCUCAGAUACUUGAGAUGAGAUUGCCUUAACUUCUUCCAAUCCUAUAUGGCCCUUUAGCUUGCUCUAUUAUGUGUUUUGUCGGCUACCUGUUCGAGUUUGAGUAAAUGUAAUAUUCUAAUCAACAGCAACUUAUAGUACAUUCUCUGCAACACUACUUUCUUGGUUCUUUAUAGAUUGUGAUUUGGACCUUGGUGGUCCUUAUGUGGCGCUUUCUUUCAAUCUUGUGCAAGUUUAUUGGAUUCGGACCUUCAUGGCUGGUCCUUAUGCUUUCUUUCAAACUUUGUGGACGUGGAAAACUGGUAGCUUGGGGAUGGCAUUCAGGCCAGAAUCUAGAUUAUAUAGCUUUGUAGAUUCGAAAAUACCAGCUCGAUAUAGUAACACUCUUAAAGUUACUAAAAUAUGCUAUUUAAAAUUGCAAAACUAGCUAGUAUUAGAAAUUAUGAGAAAUAUCAUUGGUUACAUAACCUGGAUAAGUUUGUUAUGGUCUCUUGACACCAAUCAUCCUUGAGCCUAGAGCCAAAUUUCAUGCUUGUGAAAGUUGAUGAUAUUGGUGAUAGAGGCCUUUUAGGUGGCAUAAUAGCCUUUAUGCCCUAGUAUCCGUAACUUAUUUACCCUUUAAGUAAGCAUUUACAUGAGAGAAGAAGACAUCUCAUCUUCACUAAUAAAAUACAAUUUCAUUUCUUAGUUUUGAGAAUAUGGAAAAGAUCCUUAAUCUUGUUAUUUUCUUGCUUUUGUUAUUAUAUCAAUUUCAUAUUCUAGUUCUUAUGGGCAUAGUCAAAAAAUGUUUCUUCAUUAUUGUUUCGUCGAUUUAGUCUCCCUCCCCCNNNNNNNNNNNNNNNNNNNNNNNNNNNNNNNNNNNNNNNNNNNNNNNNNNNNNNNNNNNNNNNNNNNNNNNNNNNNNNNNNNNNNNNNNNNNNNNNNNNNNNNNNNNNNNNNNNNNNNNNNNNNNNNNNNNNNNNNNNNNNNNNNNNNNNNNNNNNNNNNNNNNNNNNNNNNNNNNNNNNNNNNNNNNNNNNNNNNNNNNNNNNNNNNNNNNNNNNNNNNNNNNNNNNNNNNNNNNNNNNNNNNNNNNNNNNNNNNNNNNNNNNNNNNNNNNNNNNNNNCCCCAUCCCACCCCAAAAACAAAUAGAAGGGUGAGAUCGAUAUUAAUUCACUUGUUCUUGAUCCCCAAUUUUACAAAUUUGACUAUUAGUACAACACAUGUUUAGCUAAACAAAUUUCUUCAAACAUGUUAUUUUUUCUUGAAUGGCAAUUCAACAUUUGAAGGGUAGAGCUAUAAUGAUUAGUAUAUGAACUAUGAAGAUAUGGUGUCUCCUGUCAUAAUAUGUGAAGCUUGGAUUAAGAAGAUAAAUAAAUGAAAGUUCUUCCCUAUAUAAUACAAUUCUUCCAUAUCAAUUUGUUUGAUCUACUUUCCUUUUUAGUCCAUUUAAAAAAGAUUGAAAUUUUCCUUUUUUAACAGUUUUUAUUUUAACUUUCCACUUGACAUGUAUAAGUUCACAAAAUUAAAAAGUAUUUUGAUACAUUUGAGAGAUCUUUAAUUUUUUAUCAUAAGAUUAAAAGGUCACUUAAUUUGAAACAAAGAGAGUGUAUGUUAUGAAAUAUUAAGAUGAUGGAUAUUAAUGUCCAUAUGCACUUGUAUUUGGUGGAUGUCAAUGUUCAUUUGCACUAGUAAACUUGACUUUCCAAGUUACUUGAGACUUGUAAAUAACUUACAUUGUAUAUAAAAAUUGAUAGAUACAAUUGGAAGUAUAAGAAAGCUCUUCUUUCUUCUCCCUGUUUUUAUUGCUCUCUUAUAGUAGUAUUUAUCUUAUUUUGCUUUGAUUUUAUAACAUGUUAUCAACAUGAGUUUCUAAUUUAUUCUAAAGAUAUGCAUGAUAUGAAUAACAAAAAUGUGAGAUCUUCCUAUAAGUAUCUGGGUAUGUAUUUUACCAAUGAUUUACUUGCAAACAGGAUUUAUGUCAUAAUAUCACCUUCCCUUGUUAUAUAACAUUGAUUUGAUAACCAAAAAUCUUAAAAGGUUGUCUGAAUCUUAUUGCUGCUAUGUUUAAUACGUUUAUGUUUGCAUUAUUGUUGACAUAAUUGUUGCAUCAAUUGUAAAUGAAUCUUAGUUUCUAUUGUCAUUGCUAGUAACCUAAUUUUUAAGAAUUUGUUCUAGGGAGGACCCUCUGAUCUAUCAAUAAAAAGAUAUCCAUGUGUGGGGCGAUAAAUAAUCCUAGAAAAGUUUGAUUGAAACUCCCUCCACAUCCCACGAAGAUCUCUACACACUUGUGCAGGACAAGUGAGAUCUUUGAUCUGCGUGCUUGAGAGCAGCUCAAACAAACUAUUUGGUGUGGUCUGAAUUCAAACAUGCUAGUCCGUCUGCUGCUAGGUCAAAAAAUGACGUCGUGUGAGGGCGCCUUUAUGCCCCUUAAUGAAUCAAAUGGUCGUUCGAUCUUUGUUUGAUUUCGACGACCUGCAUAGAUUUCAUGAGAUCGGUCCACUAUUAUUACGGAAAAAAAAUCCUACCCUCUCUUUACAGUUAAGUGACUUUCAGUUCCUUCGCUUCGCUAUUAGGAAAGUAAGCAACUUCUAUUAGUGUUGGAUCUUAAUAAGACUGGGCACCGCAUCGGAACGGGACCAUCGAAUCGGAAUGAACCGAUACUGGAUCGGAAUGGGAUGGUUUGACCGGGUCGUUGAUCGGUACCAGAAUGAGCCAGACCGAAACUAUCGGAAUGGAGGCUUGGUUCCGUUCCGUCCCACUAUAUAUCGGGAUAGAACCGGAACAGACCGGAAUGGAACGGGAUGGGAUAAACAGGACGACACAUAUAGCUAUUUUAAAAAAUAAUACUCCCUCUGUCCCAAUUUAUAUGACUUACUUUCCUUUUUAGUCAGUCCCAAAAAGAAUGACACAUUUCUAUUUUAAGUAACAAUUUGCCUAUAAAAUGUCUUUUUACCCUUAAUGAAAUAAUUUACAACCACACAAAUUUCUAUCAUUCAUUUUGGACCACAAGUUUUAAAAGUCUUUCCAUUUUUCUUAAAAGUUUGUGCCAAAAUCAAAAGUACAUCAUAUAAAAUGGGACGGAGGGAGUAAUUUUUUUGAGUUAUUUUGAAUUACAAAAAUAUGAAUGUUUUUUUAUUUUUCUAAGUUUAAUAGUUUUGAAAUUUAUAAUGUAAUUUUACUUAAGUUUAUUUUAAAGAUAUUUUUUUAAAUUUUUUACUUAUAUAAGUUCGUAAGUUAAAUUUAAUAAAGUUUUUUUUUAAAGUUUUUGAGCUUAAGUUUUCAACUUUAUAAGUUUAUAAGUUAUAUGUUAUAAGUUAUACUUAUAACUUGUAAUUUAAAUAACUUGUUGCAGGCCUAUUUUUAAUUAAUUAAAAAUAAUUUAUCGGGACCAGAUCGGAUCGGAAUCGGGAUGAACCAGUAUCGGUAUACCGAUAUCAAAUCAUGAUACCAUUCCAUUCCGAGUACCGAUUCACUGUAUCCCAUUCCGUUUUGAAUACUACCGGAUCGGAAUGGUACCGAAAAUCUUAAGUCAAAUUGAUCGUGUCAUAUGCAAAGUCUAUCAAUAAUGAUUCAUUAAAGUCUAUUGAUUUCGACUCCUCUCCCUUCUUAAUUAUGCGCUCAAUAUUUCAUUUUCUGUGUGUUUUUAAUAAUACAUCUUAUGUGUACUUAUAUAGGAAAAUAAUAAGAUCAACUUAAUAAUCCUAAUGAGACAUAAAAGUACCCCUUAUGGGUAUAUUCAAUUUUCCUACAUCUCCCACUCACAGAUAAUGAGAAUGUCUUUUCAGUCUGAGAACAUAUUCUCAUCUCCACAAUUAUUCAUAUAGGGAAAUUAGACUAUGAGACCAUCAAAUUGUGAAAGCUAAGUGAUAUAUAUGUUAGGAAUAUAUAACCUCUCUUCGAGUUUAAACAUGCAACUAGAUCAUAAAGUAUGCAGUACCUCAUGUCAUAUAAAUUACAUUUGAUAUAUUCUCAAGAUCUCAUAUAUCAUUAUUUCUUGUAUUCAAAAUUAUAACUCAUAAGUUAUAUCUGGUGCAACGAUGAGCACAAAUCAAUGAGAUUUCAUUAAUGAACUUCCUCUUCUCAUGAUGGUUUAAUUGUUUUUCUAGAUAUACUCCUCUAAAUCGAAUAUGUAUUCAUAAGCUUUUAAAAACAUACUAAGAUAGUAAACAUCAAGUAUCUAAUUAAAGUCACUAAGGGCACAUAUUUUGAGCCAUUACUUCUGGGUCUCAUACAACAAUACAAUUAGAAUGGGCUUACGUUAAAUCCAAUUGGUCGAUGUUAGCACACAUGAUAUGAAAAGCAUGCUACAACAUUUGCUUAUUUACCAUAGGCCGUAUAUCUUUGUUUUUUUAAAUAAUGUUGUAAAUAUGAUAUUUAGACACCAUAUAUUCAAAGUUUGAGUUCAUUGAUCAACCCUAUCAUUUUAACUCACAUCUGGCUUACCAAGUAGACUAGGUGAACAUUUUUCACCUUGAUGACCUUAUGUCAUUAUUUAUGCGACAUUCAAAUUUAAGUUGAUUGAGAUUAUUUAUUUGAUAAUUUUACUUAAAAUUCAAUCUUAUCUCUACUUAUCACUAAGACAAGGAGAAAUUUAUCUAUGUGAAAAGGCUAACAUCAUGUCUACUCAACAUAAUUAUAAAAAAAAAACAAAUAGCUGAAUAAGUAAGGAAUGCUCAUAACAUUCAAUAAUUAAAAUAUGUAUUGAUACAAAUAAACUUUAUUGAUAAUUAAAGAACAUCUGUUUUGUGAACAUGAGAAUAAAAAACAAUAUGAAGUAACUCAAAUUCUGCUCAAGUCUUGAGACCUCGUGUGUAUCAUAAAUACAUCUCCAGUCAAUUGAUUAGUCAAUGAAUCUUCUAAUAUAUCUCUUACAUUCUUGAGUUAGUAUCUGUUUAUUAUGAAAUUUUAAACACUUUAUCUUUUGUUAUUGCUUUCAUAUUGGAGUUGAGUUGAGGUGAGUUUGUCUUCCCAUAUUAUCAGUUUAGUUAGCUAUGUUUCAGUUUCCCCUUACAUGCUUGUACAUUCAAUGUACUGACGUCAUUCGACCUGCAUCUUAUAAUGAUGCAUAUACAAGCUUACAAGAUUAUGAACAAGUGCUUCGUUGAGAUCAUUUGACAUUCUAGUUAGCUUUGAUGAGCCUUCUUGUAUUUCGGAGGACUUCAUCUUUACCUUAAAUUUAGUAUUUUUCAUAUGCCGUGGGUCUUAUCCCGAUAUCCUUCAUAAUACUAGAGGCUUCAUAGAUAGAUAGAGUUGAGAAGUUUUUCAGUUGUUACUUUCUUUGAGUUGUUUUACAAACUAUAAGUAUUUCUAUUGAGUAUUGUUCAGACUUUUUGAGUUAAGUAUUUGAGUUUAACAGAUUUGAUUCAGUUUUAAGUGUAUUAUUGCUUGAGUUAGUCUUCCGCUUGUAGUCCGUCAAGAUAAGGGUUUGUUUGUGGACCAUCAAUGGUUCUCGAGUGUCGGCUAUGUCUAGGGUGUAGGCUCGGAUCGUGACAGUCUGAAUACAAAGCUCUUGAUAUAUAAAUCUUAUGUCUGUUACGUUAAAAAUGGAUUAAUCAAUUUACAAUUCCAUAAAACACGCAAUCACUGCUAAUCAAUCCCUCAUAAUGUGUAUCAACUUCAACAAUUCAAAAUUGUUCAAGCAGAUCGUCCAACAUCCUUUCAACUUUGAUUCAAAAUUUUCACAAAUUUGGAGAAGAUACAUCGUGAAUAUAUCAAUUUUGCUAAGAUAUUCAUGAAUCUAAAAAAAUUUGAAGGUAUAAAUGAUACGGAAGCGAUAGAAUCGUUGUUAGAAAAAUAUUUCAUUUGUGAAUCUAAAAUUAGCAUUGCAACUGAAUUGAGGAAAAAACUAGACAUUAGAUACAUCAUAAAAGAUAAUUUUAAUUCAUGACCAAACACACCUAAAGACACUUAAUACAAAGUUGAUAUUGAAUUCUGAUACAUAACCAUAUGUAUUGUGUUGGCUUUGAACUAGGGUGUUCAGUUAUGUAUUCGAUACAUAACAGUGGGUGUUGUAUGUAUCAGGCAAAAAACAAAAAUAAACAUUAGAUACAUCGUAGAAGAUAAUUCUAAUACAUGACUAAACACACCUAUAUAAAUCUGAUACAUAAAUUCUAAUGCAUAACCAUGUGUCAGCUUUGUAUUCAGUGUGUUUAGUUAUGUAUUUGAUACAUAACAAUGAAUAUUGUAUGUAUCGUGUAUUAAAAUAUAAUGAAAGCUUGCAUAGUUAUGUAUCAGAUACAUAACUAUAAACAAGAUUCAUACUGAUUUAGGUUUGAAAUAAUUGAGGUUAUGUAUCAACAAUAACAUUUGUGUCAAAUACAUUAUACACAAACAAAGUUGUAAUGUAUCUAAUAGUUGAAACAUAAACAUGAUACAUAAGUAAACACACAUGAACCAGUUACAUUAAAAAUUUGAAUCAUGGGUAGAGAAGACCGUAUAGUAAAACCAUCGACUCCUCCCCCCCCCCCCCAAUUUUUUUGAAGGUCAAUACUAAACUAUGGACCAGAAUUCAUAUGUAUCAGAACUUUAGGAUGAAGAAUAUAAAAUAAAAUAAAAAGUCAAAAUCUGAUCAACUGAAAGCAAACAAAGGUGAUGAAGAAAUCCUUUUACUUUUUUAAGAACUUGAGACUGAUGGGAAAAAAUCCGAAAUAACACGGUUGUAAUUCAAAAAUGGUGACUUGGAGGAAAUUGUUGAUACAUGCCAUGAUUUUAGGCAUUAAAUUGGGGAAGUUACGCGUGAAGAGUGAUGCAUCCGAGAAUAAGAGAGAUGGUGAAGAAAAUAGGAAACUUUGUAAUUUUUUCAAAAUGAUACGAAAUUUUAGAAAAUAUGGUAAAAAGGUUGCGUAGUUGGAUAUUUUUACCUUAAUAAUUAUGUUUAUGAUUUUGACUAGUUAGCUAAUUUUCCCAAAUAUAAAAUAAUAACAAUUUCAUAGCCCAAUCCAAACUAAUUCAGCAAAUACUCAUUCUCCCAAAAUGAAUUACAGUCCAUAUCCCCCCUUUAGUUUAGGCCAAAUUUCCUUUCAACCCCUUUAAAUUUAGGCCGAAUCACCCUAACCCUUUUAAAUUUAGGUCCAAUUGGCCCAACCCAAUUUUUUUGUCCUAUUAUUUUGUUCUUUUUUCUCAUUUAUUAUUUUUAUCCUAUCAUUAAUUACUUUUAUUCUUUCUCAUUUAUUAUUUUUAUUAUUUCUUUUAUUAUUUUUAUUCUUUUUAUGUUAUUCUUUAUUAGAGAUAUCAUUUAAUAUUUUUUUUAUUUUUUAUUUUUGUUAGUUUAUCUUCUUUUUAAUUUUUUUCUCUUUCUAUAUUUUUACCUUUUUAAGAAAAUAAAAUAAAUUACCUUUGUUCUUUUCUUAUUUAUUAUUUUAAUUUUAUCUUUUAUUCUUUUUUCAUAUAUUAUUUUUAUUCCUUUUUCCAUAUUAUCCUUUAUUAGAAAUACCAUUUGGUAACAUUUUUAUCUUCUUUUUUUUUCUUUUUUGUAUUAGUUUAUCUUCUUCUUUUUCUUUUUUUUUUUCUUUCUAUAUUUUUACCCUUUUAAGAAAAUAAAAUAAAUUAUUUUUGUUCAUCACUUUUGUUUUUUUUUUCUUAUUUUUUGUUUUUUUAUUUUCUCAUUAAUAUUUUUAUUCUUUUUUUCAUUUUAUCCUUUAUUAGAGAUACAAAUUGAUAAUAUUUUUAUUAUUUGUUUUUUUCUCCGUCUUUUUUUUAAAUUUUUUUUUGUCCUUUCCCCCUUUUUGUUAGUUUAUCAUCUUUUAAUUUUUUGUUCUCUUUCUAUAUUUUACCUUUUUUAAGAAAAUAAAAUAAAUACAAAAAACUACUUUCAUAGUAAUAAAAACAAACAACUAGACUACAAUAAUAACUAAAUAAGAAAAAUACAUAAUUAUGUGAUUUUGGGUCUGUAUAAACUACAUUUGACAUUUAGUGUGGUUUUCUUAAAAAUAAAUAUAGAAUUAUGUGUCAUUUUACUUUUCUUCCCACAAUAUUCAGUAUUUGAUUCUUCUGCUUCCGUCCUAAAUGAUACCAUAUCAGUAUAUGAUAUGUUGUGAUGAAAUCAUUGAGAAAUGAGUUGGUUAUAUAUGAAUAGUUGUCGGAAACCUUAAUAAUACCAUAACAAUAUAUGAAUAUAUGAAAAGAGUACUUAAUGAUACCUUAACAAUAUAUGAAUAUAUGAGAACAAUACUUAAUGAUACAUGUCAGUAUGUUAUAUGUUGUGAUGGUAUCAUUGAGAAAUGAGUUGGUUAUAUAUGAAUAGUUGUCGGAAACCUUAAUAAUACCAUAACAAUAUAUGAAUAUAUGAGAACAAUACUUAAUGAUACAUGUCAGUAUGUUAUAUGUUGUGAUGGUAUCAUUGAGAAAUGAGUUGGUUGUACAUCAACAGUUGUAGGAAACCUUAAUGAUACCAAAUCAGUAUAUGAAUAUAUAAAACAAUCCUUAAUGAUAUCAUAUCAGUAUAUGAUAUGUUGUAAUGGUAUCGUUGAGAAAUGAGUUGGUUGUAGGAAACCUCAAUGAUACCAUAGCAGUAUAUGAAUAUAUGAAAUAGUUCUUAAUGAUACCAUGUUAAUAUAUGAUAUGUUGUGAUGGUAUCAUCGAGAAAUGAGUUAGAUGUACAUGAAUGGUGGUAAGAAACCUUAAUGAUACCCAAUAUAUGAAUAUAUUCUUAUGGUAUCAUUAAGUAAUGAGUAAUUUUGCAAAUGAAUGAAUGAAGUAAACCUUAGUGUUACCACAACAGUAUAUUCAUAUACUAUAACAAUAUUAUACAUGAUCUAAGGUGUGUUCCAAUAUAUUAAAUAGUCAUUCAUUCUACAUAUGUUGUGAUGGUAUCAUUGAGAAAUCAUGAAUUCAUCCCUUGAAGGACUGCUCAUUAGUCUAUGAUACCAUGGUAUUAUAUAUAUAAUGUGUUGGCCUAACCUAUUGGUAGCCCCCUAAAGUUGGCACAAUGUUUCACUUAGACACCUUAACUGAGCGAUAUUCAUUUUAGACACUCCGGGUAGAAUCUCACAGUGCCAUUUUGACACUUUUUACUUACAUGGCAUAAUGAGUGUGAUACACUCAUUGGUAGGCGCAUGAAGUGGUUAUUUAGUUACUUUUUAAUUUUUUAUUUCUUCUUCUCCAUUUUCAACCACCAUUUUUCUCCAAGUUAAAUCUCAUCCAUUGUAAAUGAAGGUUUCAACAAAAAUAAUGGAAUUAUUCAUUAAAUUCUUUGCGCUGGGGGAGGCCGGGGGGUUAUUUGGAGAUAAGAAAAAAUCAACUGGUUGCACAGCGUUCUGCAAAAAGAGGUCGGGUAUUUGGCGGAGAAAACACGGGAGGUGGUUGCAGAAGGCGAUCGGGUUUGGGGUGGGGGGGGGUUAGAGAAGACGAUGGGGUGGGGAUUUGGAGCAGGCGAUUUGGGGUUGUGGGGGUAGUUUAAAUUUUAUUUUAUUUUGUUAUUAUUUGGGGAGUUUAUUUUAUUUUGUAAUUAUUUGGGGAAAAAAUAUUACGUGUCAUUAAUUUAAUGGUCAAUUUUUAUUUUUAUUCAACAUUAAUUAUUUAAAAAUUACUUUUGACAUAAAUGAUAAAUGUCGUGGUUUAAUUCGUCAAUUUACACAUCAUCUGCGAGUGUAAUAUACACACAUUAUAUGUUUUUGUUGAUAUUAAAAAAAGGUAUCAAAAUGACACAGCGGGAUCCUACAUAAGGUGUCUAAAAUGAACAUCGUCCAGUUAAGGUGUCUAAGUGAAAUAUCGUGCCAACUUUAAGGGGUCACCGAUGGAUUAGGCCUUAUGUGUUGGUAUCAUUGAAGAAUGAGUUGGUUGUACAUGAAUGAAUGUAGGAAACCUUAAUGAUACCAUAUGAGUAUAUGUAUAUAUUGUUAUUGUAUCAUCAAUGAAUGAUUAGUAUUGUGAACGAAUGAAGGAAGAAAGGAAAUAUUAGUUUUCCCAAAUUACUUUAAGAGGAACUUUCACAAAUAGCCACUAAAAUCAUUUUAAUUAGGUUUCAUAGUUAUAGUUUGCUAAUUACGAUUCGUAGCUAGUAGCUACAUAUUAGAGGGAGAAGAGAGGUGAGAGAGAUUGGGAGAGGGAGGAGAGAGGCGAGCGAGAGAGGGCAGAGAGUGGAGAGAGGCGAGUUGUAUAUGUAUAUCUGUCAGAUAAUUGUAUAUAUGUAACCGAUGUACAUAUUUAUUUGUAUACCUAGCGAGUGAGAUUGGGAGAGGGAGGAAAGAGGCGAGCGAGAGAAUGCAUAGAAUGGAGAGAGGCAAUUGCAUUAGUAUAUCUGUCAUAUAAUUAUAUAUGUAUAUGUAUAAUUUGUAUUUGUAUUUGUAUAUGUAUAAGCGAGGAGAGAGACGAGAGAGAGGAAGAAAGGAGAGACACACACGUAAUUAUAGCUACAAUUGAGUUGCAAAUCAUAAUUAAUUCAAACUAUAAUUAUAUUAGCUAAUUAAUUAGUAUAUGUUUGAUCAUCCGCGUAAUUUCCCCUUAAUUUAAUCGGGCCAUUAGCCCAAUCUACAAUACUUCUGAAAGUGGGCCUUCUGCCUAUUCAUUAUUGUAGCCCUCAAAAAUUAAAUGGGCUUUAAGCCCAAAUGUUUUAAUGUUUAAUCAGGCCAUUAGCCCAAUUUACAAUACUUUACCUUCUGCCUAUUAAUUAUGAUAGCCUUCAAACAUUAAGUGGGCUUUAAGCCCAAAAUAUUUAUCUUAAAAAAAAUAAAUGCAGUUGCUUAGGGAACCAACAAGUUUUAUGUAUUUUAAAAACUUUUCCCCUUGUGCUGGUUAGAACAAUUUCAAAAUUAAUUCAUUUUUCAUAGAUGAGACUGGUACUUAUUUCUUUGUGAAUUCAUUUAAUAUAACUGCUCAAUGUUUUGCAUUCAACUAGUGUUCUUCCUCAACAAGCAUAUAAGAGAGAUGUGGUUGGUUUGAAGGAAUAGGUAAUCCCUUAGUUCCUUUAAUAUGUUUUCGUUGAUGAGCUUACUUCUGAAUUUUCAGUUUUUGUUCGGAAAGUGAUUGAGCUUCAUGAUAAAUAUUUGGACUAUGUGAAUAAUUGUUUCCAAAACCACACACCUUUUCACAACUAUAGUUAUCUAAUUUAAUGUCCUACUCUAUGCAUUAGGGUAAAAGUAAAUUGCUCUAUAGAUCCCCUUCUCUUCUUUUUCCUCUAGAGCAUCUGCUUUUUCUUCAUAAUACUAGAGUAGGAGAAUGCUGAUAAUAGAUCUCACUUGCAGGUAGUGUAGCUGCUAGUUUAUAUUAGUGAUAAAGACUUGUUUGCAGAAUUCUAUAAGUAGAGUUACCUCUAGUGUGUAUCUCAACCACUACUUGCAUAGUAGCUUCUUCUCUGUUAUUUGAUAAGAGUGCCAAUGAGAGAAGUAUCCUAACAAAGUUGAAGCAGCAGUGUGGGGGACAGUUCACAUCAAAGAUGGAGGGAAUGGUAAGCUAUCUAGAUCAAUUAUGCUGAAUUUGAGGCUAUGUUCUCUGGUGACUUUCUUCUUCUCUUUCUAUAGGUCACAUAUUUGACAUUGGCAAGGGAAAAUCAAGGCAACUUUGAGGAGUAUUUGAGCAAUAAUCCAAUAGCAAAUCCAGGAAUUGACUUGACGGUAACUGUCUUGACUACUGGCUUCUGGCCUAGCUACAAGUCUUUUGAUCUCAACCUCCCAGCAGAAAUGGUAUAUCAUAUCAAUAUGUUAAUUGGCAUUAUGCAGUUGAUUUUAUCUUGGUUUUGACCCUUAUUCCUCUUGCUGAAGUUCUUCUCUUUCGGCAAAGAAUGAUGCAUGUUUUUUUUCUUGAAUCAUUUUUCUUCUCAAACAUCUUGUCAUUGAUUCAUUUUAUGCUGCACAUUGUCAGGUUAAGUGCGUUGAAGUAUUCAAGGAGCUCUAUCAAACAAAAACAAAGCACAUGAAACUUACAUGGAUAUACUCUUUGGGAACUUGCAACAUAAAUGGAAAUUUUAAGCCAAAGACUAUUGAGCUCGUUGUCACUACUUAUCAGGUUGACUGUUGGCUUACUUUUUGAAAUUGGAUAGGCUUAGUUAAUUUAAAACAUUUUUAUUACGUUAUCAAUGAGAAAAUGAGAUUGGCACUUCUUCCUCGUAGGCUUCUGCUCUGCUACUCUUAAUGCAUCAGAUAGAUUGAGUUAUCAGGAAUUCAUGACACAAUUAAACUAUCAGAUGAUGAUGUUGUUCGGCUUCUUCAUUCCCUUUCAAGUGUGAAGUACAAGACUCUCAACAAGGAGUCAAGCACCAAAACAAUUUCUCUGACUGAUGUUUUGAGUUCAACUCAAAGUUCACUGACAAAAUGAGGAGGAUCAAGGUAUUGAUUAAUGAUGAGUAAGGUUAGCCUUUCUACUCUGAAUUGUUGCACUACAUUACUGACCCCAUGAGGAUAUUGCUGUAAUGGUAUGCAGAUACCUCUCCCUCCUGUUGAUGAGAAGAAAACGGUAAUUGAAGACGUUGACAAGGAAAGGCGGUAUGCUACAGAUGCUUCAAGUAGUUGGGGUGGGGGAUUGGGUGGGUAAGAGGAGACAAUAAACUUGGAAUGUCGCAGUGUCACUUAUGCAACUCGUUUUUCAUAUAUUCAUUAGGAAAGUCAUUUUCCUAGAGAAAAUAUUUUUCUAACAUUUUGACCAAUCAAAUAUAGAAAAUGUGAAAAACAUACACAAAUUCUCACUAUUUCCAUUUUUGCCAAGGUAAUUUCUUGGUUUUUCAUUCAGGGUUUUUGGAAAUUUAUCCCUACUAUUUUUGGGUUUUAUGCAUUUUUACCUCAAUUGCUUGAGUACUCUCUUUCUUUUUUGUUUCUUUUAUUGAGAAUGUCGUCUACUUUUACUUCACGACAUUCUCAAAAAAGAAAAAAGAUAGUACUCAAGCAGUUGAGGUAAAUAUGCAUAAAACCCAAAAAUAGUAGCGAUAAAUUUGCAAUAACCUUGAAUGAAAAACCAAGAAAUUACCGUGGCAAAAAUGGAAUAGUUAGAAGUAUAAGGGGGUUUUCGAGGAAACAGGAAAAACACAUAAAAGGGGGAAAAGAUUCACAAAUCACCCUAUUCUCUUCUUGUCAUAAAUGGUUCCACACUGGAUUUACAGGUUGUACUUUUCCCAUUAGUCCAUAAGGAUCGGACACCCAUAUUCCGGGACCAUACAAGCUUGUUACAUUAAAUGCACCAAAACCAAAACAAGCCACCCCUGAGAGAAAUAAAUGAAUUUCAAAGAGGGUUUUCCUGUACAUUCAUCACAAAAUAUUUCUAGAUCCCAAUACAAUACACCCAAUGCCAGAUAGCUGCUAGCUCCGUCUUUUUCCCUCAUCAGGUCUAACUCUCCGAUCACCCUUUUCGGAAAAUUCCUUCGCUCUCCGGUGACAUCACAGGUAUAUUUUCCAUUUAAAUUGUGACCUGCGAUUUGAUGUACAUUGUUCCUACGUAUGUAUAUACCUAUGAUGCAUAGUUGAUGUGAUUGUUUUGGUUUAAUUGGAUCUCCCUUUGCUUCAGAUUGAUCCUGUUACUGAUUUUGUUUCCGGUAGCUAUUAAAAUUGUGUUGUUUUGUAACCUGAAUUAACCGUGGUGCACUUGCGGGAAAAUCCUUGCCGAGGGCCUGUGCACCCCCGGGAUUAGUCGGGGCUCAAAGAGACUCGGACACCCGGUGCAAAUCAAANNNNNNNNNNNNNNNNNNNNNNNNNNNNNNNAAAAAAAAAAAAAAAAAAUAAAAAAAAAAAAAAAAAUUUGUGUUGUUUUGUUUAAUUUCAAAAAAAGAAAUUGUGUUGUUUUGCUGUGGUUGAUUUUGCGAUCUUCAGAGCUGAGAUUGAUUGACUAGUUUUAUGUUGUUUUUUAUUUCUCUAUAGUUGAUUUGAGCACGAGUGUUUCGUCCUUUUGAAAUUAGGUAUAGUGGAAGUUUAGUGUUCAUUACUGGUAGGGUUUGAGUUUAAUUUUUGGUUCAUUCUUUGUUGCAACUAACGACAUCCUUGUAAACUAGAAAUUCAAUAGGAAUAACUGAUUCCAGAACUUUGUUUUAUUUCGUUAACUGCCUGAAACUUUAGAUUUUUCAGCUAUGUUGUUUGGACUCUUCAAAAAUGUCAACAGGUGUGUGUCGGAUCCUCCAAAAAUAGUGUUUUUUGAAGGAUCCGACCAACUUAGCUUUUCAGUGUCUUUGAUGAGUGUAAUUUAAUGGAAGAUUUUUUUCUUAUUCCAGUAGGUGAACAAUGAAUAAAUACAAUACAUAAAGUGCUAAGUGCUAACUAAGGAAAGAAAUUAAGAGUGAUUCCUAUAGAUCUGCAGUGAUCCCUAUAAAUCUGCUGCCCAUAUAUAGCUAUGUAUAUUACUAAGAUUAAGUCUAUAUACAUUCUAUAACACUCCCCCUCAACCUGGAGCAUAUAUGUUGAUCAUGCCCAGCUUGUUACAAAGAUAAUCAACUCGAGUUCCAUUCAACGUCUUUGUGAGCAAAUCAACUACUUGCUCUCUUAUCUUCACUUAGCUAGUGGAAGUCAGUUUUCCUGAAUCUUCUCACGAAUAAAAUGACAGUCAACCUCAAUGUGUUUAGUUCUUUCAUGACACAUCAGAUUUGAGGCAAUAUGCAAGGCAACUUGAUUAUCACACCAAAGUUUUGUUGGUAUGUGAUGUUCCAACCCAAUUUUAGUUAGAAGAUGAUGUAUCCACAUAAUCUCACAUGUAGACUGUGACAUAGCUUUGUACUCAGAUUCUGCACUGGAUUGAGAUACAACACUUUGCUUCUUACUCCUCCAUAAAACUAGGUUCCCUCCAAAGACAUAAUAGCCUGUAGUUGAUCUCCUGUCAAUUUUGGAUCUAGCAUAGUCAGCAUCUGCAAAACACUCAACACGAGUAUGACUGUGAUUGCUAUAUAAAUCCCAAGUCCAGGGGAUCCUUUCAAGUAACAUAAAAUCUGUUCCAAAGCUGCCCAGUGUUUAACUGUAGGCGAGGACAUAAACUGGCUAACAACACUUACUGCAAAAGCAAUGUCUGGACGAGUGACAACAAGGUAGUUUAACUUCCCAACUAACCUCAUGUAUCUCUCAGGAUCAUCAAAGGGGUCGCCGUCAUCUUUCAUAACCUGCACAUUGGGAGCCAUUUGAGUACUGCAAGGUUUAGCUGCCAACUUUCCAGUGUCUGCAAAAAGAUCAAGAAUAUAUUUUCUCUGAGACAAAAAAAUUCCCUUCUUGCUUCUAUUCACCUAUAUACCCAAAAAGUAUUUCAACUGACCCAAAUCUUUCGUAUGAAACCUAGUAUGCCAGAAGGAUUUGAGGGAAGAGAUCCUCGCAUAAUCACUUCCUGUGAUGACAAUGUCAUCAACACACACAACCAGGAUAGUGCCAACUUUUGAUUGUUAGUAGAAAACUGAGUGAUCACAUUUACUCAUUUUCAUCCCUAACUCCAGGACUACCCCACUGAACUUCCCAAACUAAGCUCAGAGACUCUGUUUCAAGCCAUACACAGACUUCUUCAAAUAACAGAUUCUCCCAUACUCCCCCUGAGCAACAAAACCAGGUGGUUGCUCCAUAUAUACUUCCUCUUGAAGAUCACCAUGAAGGAAUGCAUUUUUGAUAUCCAACUGAUGUAAAGGCCAAUUCUCAGAAACAGCUAAAGAAAUGAACAAGCUGACGGAAGUAAGUUUGGCAACUGAAGAGAAAAAGUCUGAAUAAUCCACUCCAUAAGUUUGAGCAUACCCUUUAGCCAUAAGCCUAGCCUUAAGUCUUGCCACAAAACCAUCUAGAUUAACUUUAACUGUGAACACCCACUUACAUCCCAUUAGUUUCUUCGUGCUAGGUAAAUCCACUAAAUCCCACGUGUGAUUUUCCUCUAAGGCGUGUAUUUCCUCAAGCAUCGCAUCAUACCAUCCAGGAUGGUUCAAAGCUUCUUUCACUGUUUUGGGUAUAGAGAUGGAGUCUAAAGAAGGAACCAAGGACCUCGACACAGAGGAUAAGCAAUCAUAGGAAACAAAAGUAACAAUGGAACCGGUGAAGAGCAAUAGAGAGAUCCAAAUUCUCUGAAGGAUCGGGUGAAGAAAGAUUUGAUAACAGAGGAACCGGUGCAGAACAUGUAUCGUCGAUCUCUUGUCUCCUUGAAUAAACUUGAACAAUUGGUGGUCUUGCUGGAGUAGAAGUUGUAGGCCCAAUAGUCAAUUGGUGUUCAAUAGGGGAACUAGGAGAUUGAAGUACAUUAUUUGAUUGUUCUGUCACAACCCGAGCAACCUGAUAGAGUAACCACUCAUCUUCCUCCUCUUGAGUUGUAUAAAUGGGAGGUGCAUGGAAGAAUGGUGGUCUCUGAAAAAUACCACAUCAUUUGACACCAAGUAUUUACCAAGCUUAGUAGAAUAACAUCGAUACCCCUUCUGAAGGCAUGAAUAACUCAAGAAAAUAGACUUCAAUGCCUUAGGAUCCAACUUGGUAACAGAUGGCUGAACAUCUCAAACAUAACACGUGCUUCCAAAUACCUUAGGCUCCACCGAAAAUAGUGACUUGUUUGGAAAAAUAACAUUGUAAGGCACAUUACCAACAAGAACAAUCGAUGGCAUGCGGUUAAUCAAAAAACAAGUUGUAGAGACUGCAUUAGCCCAAAAUUGUUUAGGAACCUUCAUUUGGAACAAAAGUGCUCGACUGUCUCAAGUAGAUGCCUAUUCUUUCUCUCAACAACUCCAUUUUAAGAGGGUGUAUCAACACAUGAAGUUUGAUGGAGAAUACCAUGUUGUCUCAUGUAGGACUGAAAUAAUUCUGACAUAUAUUCUUUAGCAUUAUCACUCCAUAGACUACGCAUUGAAGUAUUGAACUGAGUUUUGACUUCAGCACAAAAGUGAGUAAACACUUCAGAACGACUCUUCAUAAAGUAAAUCCAAGUCAUUCGAGAGAAAUCAUCCACAAAUGUGACAAAAUACUUAUGUCCAGUUUUGGAAACAACAGGACAUGGUCCCAAACAUCAACAUGAACUAACUCAAACUUCUUCCAUUAAAAAAGAAAAAGGUAGUCUUUAUCGACUCCACCCGCUUAUUAAUCUUGGAUUUGUUGAGCUACGAUGGUGUUUAGCAAAUUGACAUGACUCACAAUCUAGUGAAGGAAUAUUCUGAAACUGAGGACAGAGCUUCUUCAACAUAGGCAAAGAAGGAUGCCCUAAUCGACAAUGUGCCUCAAAUGGAGACACGACACAAGAGUAGGCAGCAAAUCGAGGCUCCCAAUAUUCAUCAAGAAUGUAGAAACUAUCAGAUACAUGUCCUUUACCAAUAACUUUAUUUGUCUUCAGAUCACGAAACAAACAAUGACCGACAAAAAUGAGAUAUAAUAGCCUAGGUAUCUGGUAAACUUUCUAACAGACAUCAAAUUAAAGGCUAACUUUGGUAGACCUAAUACAUAUCACAAGGUAAUGGAAGAAGUUAGUUUUACAGUCCCAGAUCCUAUAACAUUACAGAUUGAACCAUCAGCAACUGUCACAGGAGAGAGUGCUCCGUGUGAUUGAAAGCUAGAAUAUAUGUUAGGAUUACCUGUCAUGUGAUUUUCGAAGAGGAUAUAAGACAUGCUUUUCCUGACUCAACAAGGGUAGUAACUGAAAUAGAUUAUUUUUGUAAUUUUUGAUAUUGUGAGAAUUUUGUAAACUCUUUCGCCGAAAUCAAAAUUCUUUUAUCCGAAGACAUAUGAGCCACAAUUUUAGUCAUUCUCUCCAAAUAUUUUAGCAACACAAGAACUCAUCAACAAAAAUAUAACCAGAAGAAUGUAUGUGACCCCACAAAUACAGAUGAACAAAGUCUAAAAAUGGUUUUAUCAACUAAGAAACCAAUUGUCCACCCAAAAUAAAGGAACUGAGUACUUUACCGGUAGACAAGAGCACAUAGUGAACAAUCAAGUAGUUCAGAGAAAGAAAUCCUGAACCGCAACUUAUGAUAAAAAAACACCAAUUAUAUGAAAUGAAGUAGAAGCUAGAAGCCACAAAUCACAAACCAAAUUCAGUGUCGCAGAAUAGAAAUGAACCUGGAACGAACGAACUUUCCAGAUUGUAUUUUAACACCAAAAUAGACCUGAGAAGGGACGAACAAACAUUCCAGAUGGUAUUUUAACACUAGAGCACACUUGACAUUCGCCAGAAAUACGUUUCUAGAUUGUAUUUAACACCAAAAUAGACCUGAGAAUCGCUAGAAAUACGUGCCGAUGCUGGAAAUUCAAAAUCCAAUCAAUUCAGCCAGACACGCACCUUCACGUGCCGGUGCGUGAUGAACAAAAGAACCGUAUGAGCGGUGUGUGGCAACCACUCGCUUCACAACCAGAGGCCGGUGACGACUGGUUUGGCUGGAAAAUAUACUCCGCCUCCUUCUGUGGUGGUGAUAGUAGACUGACCACUUUAAAUCAGUGGAAUAGAAAUCCAAACUUCUUCCGUAACACAACCAAAACGAAACGAGCCUAUAAGCUCUGAUACCAUGUAAUUGAAUGGAAGAUCUUAUUCUUAUUCCAGUAGGUAAACAGUGAAUAAAUACAAUACAUAAGGUGCAGACUAAAGAAAGAAAUUAAGAGUGAUUCCCAUAGAGCUGCAGUGAUCCCUAUAAAUCUACUGCCUAUAUAGCUAUAUUACUAAGAUUAAGUCUAUAUACAUUCUAUAACAAUGAGUAUUUUCUUUUGAUAUUCUCAGUUUUAUUUACUUAUUGAUUUAUAUACAUUAUUGGAAAAUGUUGUAUGCGUUUUUUUUAUGCAACCCAGAAAAGAUUUUAAAAGUACAUAUCUUUUAGGGCAAAGUGUGCAAUUUUUGUAACUCUAGUUUAUCUAGGUCCUAGGAAUCACUUGGUGAAACUUAGUUCUUGUGGAAUUCCUAUCAAGUCAGGGUCUUGGGGAACCAAGUCAGAACCAUGAGGAAUCAAUCAAUUACGUUGAAUGUGCUUAGAGAUGUAUCAUAUGAUACCAGCCGACAUGUCUCAUGCCACCAAAAUGUUGUUACCGUGUGGGUAUUGGUCCAAUAACUGCAGUUUCCUGAAAAGUGCCUCUUUCCAGGGCGAAGGACGUUAAGAGCUUGCAAAAAAAUUGCUGAAUCAAUCCCUAAAUAGUACUUAGAAUAGAAUUUCUUUUCACCGAGUAAUAAGCAUGAAUAAAAAGUAAGCUCACGUGAAUAUUGAGUUAUACCUGUGAGUUAUUUUGUUAUGAAUCAUGAGCUUAGAUGAUUAGUUGGCAAGUAAAUAUCAAUAGCGGAUGAGGUAAUUACUUAGGGUUUUUAUUUUGGCGCAAUGUAGGUAGUCUCUACUGCAUAUUAUUCAACUCUUGUGGAGCUCUCUCGAAGGCUUUUUUUUGUGACAUGUACUUUAACUUUAUGCUUAUCUCAGCACUUCUAAAAUUUUGGAGUUUGGACUUGUUUAGUUACGUAAAUGGUUCAUUU
rnacentral:lncRNA from 1 species